AGAGUUUGAUCCUGGCUCAGGAUGAACGCUGGCGGCGUGCCUAAUACAUGCAAGUCGAGCGAACGGACGAGAAGUUUGCUUCUCUGAUGUUAGCGGCGGACGGGUGAGUAACACGUGGAUAACCUACCUAUAAGACUGGGAUAACUUCGGGAAACCGGAGCUAAUACCGGAUGAUAUUUUGAACCGCAUGGUUCAAAAGUGAAAGACGGUCUUGCUGUCACUUAUAGAUGGAUCCGCGCUGCAUUAGCUAGUUGGUAAGGUAACGGCUUACCAAGGCAACGAUGCAUAGCCGACCUGAGAGGGUGAUCGGCCACACUGGAACUGAGACACGGUCCAGACUCCUACGGGAGGCAGCAGUAGGGAAUCUUCCGCAAUGGGCGAAAGCCUGACGGAGCAACGCCGCGUGAGUGAUGAAGGUCUUCGGAUCGUAAAACUCUGUUAUUAGGGAAGAACAUAUGUGUAAGUAACUGUGCACAUCUUGACGGUACCUAAUCAGAAAGCCACGGCUAACUACGUGCCAGCAGCCGCGGUAAUACGUAGGUGGCAAGCGUUAUCCGGAAUUAUUGGGCGUAAAGCGCGCGUAGGCGGUUUUUUAAGUCUGAUGUGAAAGCCCACGGCUCAACCGUGGAGGGUCAUUGGAAACUGGAAAACUUGAGUGCAGAAGAGGAAAGUGGAAUUCCAUGUGUAGCGGUGAAAUGCGCAGAGAUAUGGAGGAACACCAGUGGCGAAGGCGACUUUCUGGUCUGUAACUGACGCUGAUGUGCGAAAGCGUGGGGAUCAAACAGGAUUAGAUACCCUGGUAGUCCACGCCGUAAACGAUGAGUGCUAAGUGUUAGGGGGUUUCCGCCCCUUAGUGCUGCAGCUAACGCAUUAAGCACUCCGCCUGGGGAGUACGAC
rnacentral:rRNA from 2 species